CAACCAUGUAGCUUAAUGUACAAUGCGUCUACAACUGAUGACAGCUUAUAAACUCCUCCUCUCCAAGAAUUCGUGUUGGGUCGAGCACCUUUUAAUAUCAUCUUAAUCUGAAGUUUUUAAAUGUAGCUGUAAAAUUUUCUGUCCAUCAUUUUCUUGCUGUUUUUACCCUUAUGUGUUUUAUCUUGUGUCUUCUGUAUUUUAUCUUGUGUAUUAUGUUUUUACUCUUUUGUAUUUGAUCCUGUGUAUUUCUUGGAAAGUGUAUUGGGACCAUGCUGCAUGGAGAUUUUGCACUGUAAAUAAAAUAUGAUUUGAUUUUGA